AACGUAGGAGGCAAGCGUUAUCCGGAGUUACUGGGCGUAAAGCGUAUGUAGGCGGUUGGGCAAGUGGCGUGUGAAAGCUCCCGGCUAAACUGGGAGACGACAGGUCAGACUGCCGAACUCGAGUCCGAUAGAGGGGCGUAGAAUUCCGGGUGUAGCGGUGAAAUGUGUAGAGAUCCGGAGGAAUACCAGUGGCGCAAGCGGCGCCCUGGGUCGGUACUGACGCUGAGAUACGAAAGCGUGGGGAGCGAACGGG
rnacentral:rRNA from 2 species